UGCAAGUCGAACGAACCUUCGGGUUAGUGGCGGACGGGUGAGUAACGCGUGAGAAUCUGCCCUCAGGAGGGGGAUAACGGUUGGAAACGACCGCUAAUACCCCAUAUGCCGCGAGGUGAAAUGAAUUUCGCCUGAGGAUGAGCUCGCGUCUGAUUAGCUAGUUGGUGGGGUAAGAGCCUACCAAGGCUUCGAUCAGUAGCUGGUCUGAGAGGAUGAUCAGCCACACUGGGACUGAGACACGGCCCAGACUCCUACGGGAGGCAGCAGUGGGGAAUUUUCCGCAAUGGGCGAAAGCCUGACGGAGCAACGCCGCGUGAGGGAUGAAGGCCUCUGGGCUGUAAACCUCUUUUAUCAAGGAAGAAGAUCUGACGGUACUUGAUGAAUAAGCCACGGCUAAUUCCGUGCCAGCAGCCGCGGUAAUACGGGAGUGGCAAGCGUUAUCCGGAAUUAUUGGGCGUAAAGCGUCCGCAGGCGGUCUUACAAGUCUGUCGUUAAAGCGUGGAGCUUAACUCCAUUUCGGCGAUGGAAACUGUAAGACUAGAGUGUGGUAGGGGCAGAGGGAAUUCCCGGUGUAGCGGUGAAAUGCGUAGAUAUCGGGAAGAACACCAGUGGCGAAGGCGCUCUGCUGGGCCAUAACUGACGCUCAUGGACGAAAGCUAGGGGAGCGAAAGGGAUUAGAUACCCCUGUAGUCCUAGCCGUAAACGAUGAACACUAGGUGUCGGGGGAAUCGACCCCCUCGGUGUCGUAGCCAACGCGUUAAGUGUUCCGCCUGGGGAGUACGCACGCAAGUGUGAAACUCAAAGGAAUUGACGGGGGCCCGCACAAGCGGUGGAGUAUGUGGUUUAAUUCGAUGCAACGCGAAGAACCUUACCAGGGUUUGACAUCCUGCGAAUCCCUUGGAAACUUGGGAGUGCCUUCGGGAGCGCAGUGACAGGUGGUGCAUGGCUGUCGUCAGCUCGUGUCGUGAGAUGUUGGGUUAAGUCCCGCAACGAGCGCAACCCACGUCUUUAGUUGCCAGCAUUUAGUUGGGCACUCUAGAGAGACCGCCGGUGAUAAACCGGAGGAAGGUGUGGAUGACGUCAAGUCAUCAUGCCCCUUACAUCCUGGGCUACACACGUACUACAAUGCUACGGACAAAGGGCAGCAAACUCGCGAGAGCUAGCCAAUCCCAUAAACCGUGGCUCAGUUCAGAUCGUAGGCUGCAACUCGCCUACGUGAAGGAGGAAUCGCUAGUAAUCGCAGGUCAGCAUACUGCGGUGAAUACGUUCCCGGGCCUUGUACACACCGCCCGUCACACCAUGGAAGUUGGCCACGCCCGAAGUCGUUACUCCAACCCUUGUGGAGGAGGAUGCCGAAGGUGGGGCUGAUGACUGGGGUGAAGUCGUAACAAGGUAGCCGUACCGGAAGGUGCGGCUGGAUCACCUCCU
rnacentral:rRNA from 2 species